AAGUGAGCGCAGAGGCCCUGUAUUUCGCAGUUAUGUUGUGGGUUUCCCCCUACGUUGUUCUAUAACUGGCCGUCUUUUUGGGGUUAUUACGCUUCGUAUAAUUUCCUGACAUUGUCAAAAUCGUCGCGACUGGCCUGUGCGUAGAUCACCUCCAGCCAGCCAUCGACGACAGUUGGGAGGCUAAAGCAAUGCGCCGCUUUCGGUCUCUCCAACGGGCCACCUCGAUUUACACGACGACUUUGUUUCCCGUGGGUGGUUAUCUUCAUUUGGCUUACCUUCCACGCGUUUAAUCGCCAUAUGUUGGGCUGUUGGCACUCCCGUGUGAACGACAUUACGUCUGCAUUCAACUGCUUUGCUUAUCUGAAUAUGCCCGUGUGGCUAGCUAACGAUGAUAAACUCAAUGUUUCCUCAGAUGAAGCUAAGCUAACACAUUAACACUCAGGUAAAAUUUGAUUGGACUCGCUAAUAAUUGAGCUCGUCGUCCAUCGUAUCGUUUUUCGAAGUCUCCCACGCGGAUACGAUGCUUGCUAACUUUAUUUCUUAUUGCUAAUGUGAGUGGCUCAACUCGCUGCUACAUUUGACAGUUGUCCCCUUAGCGGCUAUGCUAGCUCUCUCAACAACGACCCCUUACGCUCGAUUAAUUGUUGUCCAAAUCGCUAAGUUGGAUUUUUUAGUGAAUGGAUCCACACAGUGUAUUAUUAAAUAUGGAUAAACGUGUUCCGUUUGCUAUCAGGUUCCGGACGUGAGGACGGAUGUCAUCUAAAGGAGUUUUGUGCUUGUGCUUUUUUCCCAUCAUAUUACUUUGACAAUGCGCAACCUUGAAAGGUAUUUUACGUGGUUGUGUCAGGAAAAAAAGUUAUAUCUUGCCAUUUUGUUUGUGUUUUGCAACUGACAUUUCACCAGACCGCCGGGAAGCUGUAAAUGAUGUUAGCAGGCCCCACGCGUAGUUCGACUGAUGUCGCGUUAGUGACAGCGGGCGAGCCGCAGAACAACGACAUACCGUUUCUUAGAUCUUAUUAGCUGGUCGUUGUCUACUAAGUGUUUAUACGGCAACCAUAAAUCUGAUUCUGCACUGAUCCUGUUAGAGUUUUCCUCGCUCACAUUGACACCAGUUGACUUGGAUCUCUGUCUGAAACAAAUUAGAACAUAGAGUAAUUGUUGUUACUCAGUCCCUAAAUAGUAUCCAUGCUGCCUUCUUUUGUCGCGUGCACUGCCUGCCAUAUCUGAACUAGUACUACUAUUACAUAAUGCUGCGAUUCAUUUAGCAAUAUUGUAGAUUCAGUAUGUAGCACAUUUGAGUGGACUCUAUGCGAGUGUCUGUGGCAGUUCUGCAGAGUCUACCUGGUUGCAGGUGCUUUAGUUUUUUUGUUUGUAAAGCAAUUAAUUCCAAACCAAACAAUAGCAACCACAGCAAAACAAACUAAAUAAAAACCAAGAUUUGAAAUGGGGACGGAGGAAAGAGCUUUUUAAAUUACAUCCUUUGUCCACCUGAAUGCUAACAGCAAAAAUACGAAAACAAACCCACACUUAUGGCUUUCUUCAAUAAAAAAGGAAAGCCAUCACUAACGAAUGACUUCUUAUUUACCCUCUUCCAGAUUAUACCGUUUUAACACUGCCUUUAUUAAUUUCUGUUUCAACUGGUAUAGGUUUUGUUGGCUUUAACAUUCCCAUCAAAACCUACUCAGAUAAUUUUUGCAGAAUCAGAAUCGCCUUUAUUGUCAUUGUAAAACAUACAACGAAAUUUGGGUGCCACUCCUUAGUGCAUUUGCGACAAAGGUUGUUCUUAUAAAUUGAUAUCGAUUAUAUAUUUAAUAUUAUUAUUUUUCCCCUCCAAAUAAGCACCUGGAGAAAAAAAGAAUUUAUGUAAUAUUACUUGAAAAUAUCCACCCAUCCAUUUUCCGAACCGCUUAAUCCUCACUAGGGUCGUGGGGGGUAUUGGAGCCUAUCCCAGCCGUCUUCGGGCAGUAGGCGGGGGACACCCUGAACCGGUUGCCAACCAAUCGCAGGACACACAGAGAUGAACAAUCAACCGUGCUCACACUAGGGACAAUUUACAGUGGUCCAUUUAACCUCCCAUGCAUUUUUUUGCCGGAGCUGGAAUCGAACCCGGUACCUCUGUACUGAGGUCGACGCGCUAACUACUCGACCACCGGGCCGUCUACAAAUGUGUAUUUGAGAUGGUCCAAAUGUCUGUUUAAAAAAAGUCAGUGUGUGUGCCCUAUAGGUUGGUUUAAUUGCAUUGACACAUUACACAAGCGGACGUAGUUGGCCAGUGGCAUGGGAGUAAGUAGAAGUUCCUUUCAAUGUCACAGUAAAUAGUAAUAAACAAGUCUGACAAUAAAUCAGCCAAUCAUAAAUUUGCUGUACCAAUAAAAACAGCAUGUAUAACAAAUGCAAUGCACUUAGUCACUUGAGGGAACACUUAAGUCGUUUGUGAUGACAUUUUGCUCACACCUCUGCUGAAGAGAUUGGUAAUAGGCUUGCGAAGUGUGGUCUCUCUGAGGUACCGUAGUGCGUGUUUCCAACUUAUGUCGUUGCAUUCUAAUAAUUCACAACAUUUUACACACUGAAGUGCUUGUAAUUGGACGUCAAACUGUAGCUUCUGCAUGCAGCACCAAGGGUUGGGUUUUGUGUCCUGAUUUUUUUUGUUAUUUUUAUUUUUUUAAUAUUAAUGUUGAGUGCAAUUUCAACUGAUAUUGAUCACGACUAUCGCUAUAUAUAUAUAUAUAUAUAUAUAUAUAUAUAUAUAUAUAUAUAUAUAUAUAUAUAU